GGGCACAGAGUAUAGGGAUUUUUGGAUCAGUCCAUCCGUGAUGUGAAUUGUUUGUGUUGUGAUGUAUUCCAUGAAAGCAUAUGUUUAUUAAACCGUUUUUACUAUUCUGCUCAUUGGGCUCUUGUAGCUCACCCCUUUCCCCUAACCCCCAGGUUUGCGGGGCCAGAAAUAGCAGGAAGUAAGCAAGGGUAAUGGCUAUG
rnacentral:lncRNA from 1 species